GAUGAACGCUGGCGGCGUGCCUAAUACAUGCAAGUCGAGCGAACAGACGAGGAGCUUGCUCCUCUGACGUUAGCGGCGGACGGGUGAGUAACACGUGGAUAACCUACCUAUAUGACUGGGAUAACUUCGGGAAACCGGAGCUAAUACCGGAUAAUAUAUUGAACCGCAUGGUUCAAUAGUGAAAGACGGUUUUGCUGUCACUUAUAGAUGGAUCCGCGCCGCAUUAGCUAGUUGGUAAGGUAACGGCUUACCAAGGCGACGAUGCGUAGCCGACCUGAGAGGGUGAUCGGCCACACUGGAACUGAGACACGGUCCAGACUCCUACGGGAGGCAGCAGUAGGGAAUCUUCCGCAAUGGGCGAAAGCCUGACGGAGCAACGCCGCGUGAGUGAUGAAGGUCUUCGGAUCGUAAAACUCUGUUAUUAGGGAAGAACAGAUGUGUAAGUAACUAUGCACGUCUUGACGGUACCUAAUCAGAAAGCCCCGGCUAACUACGUG
rnacentral:rRNA from 1 species